UACGUAGGGACCGAGCGUUGUCCGGAAUCAUUGGGCGUAAAGCGCGUGUAGGCGGCCAGGUAGGUCCGGUGUGAAAACUCGAGGCUCAACCUCGAGAGGUCAUCGGAAACCAUCUGGCUAGAGUCCGGAAGAGGAGAGUGGAAUUCCCGGUGUAGCGGUGAAAUGCGCAGAUAUCGGGAAGAACACCUAUGGCGAAGGCAGCUCUCUGGGACGGUACUGACGCUGAGACGCGAAAGCGUGGGGAGCGAACAGG
rnacentral:rRNA from 1 species